GACGCGGGCUGGACCUCUCGGGGUUACAGCCUUGCUGAAUUAUUCACCCUUGUCUUUUGCGUACUUCUUGUUUCCUUGGUGGGUUCGCCCACCACUAGGACAAACAUAAACCUUUUGUAAUUGCAAUCAGCGUCAGUAACAAAUUAAUAAUUACAACUUUCAACAACGGAUCUCUUGGUUCUGGCAUCGAUGAAGAACGCAGCGAAAUGCGAUAAGUAGUGUGAAUUGCAGAAUUCAGUGAAUCAUCGAAUCUUUGAACGCACAUUGCGCCCUUUGGUAUUCCAAAGGGCAUGCCUGUUCGAGCGUCAUUUGUACCCUCAAGCUUUGCUUGGUGUUGGGCGUCUUGUCUCUAGCUUUGCUGGAGACUCGCCUUAAAGUAAUUGGCAGCCGGCCUACUGGUUUCGGAGCGCAGCACAAGUCGCACUCUCUAUCAGCAAAGGUCUAGCAUCCAUUAAGCCUUUUUUUCAACUUUUGACCUCGGAUCAGGUAGGGAUACCCGCUGAACUUAAGCAUA
rnacentral:rRNA from 1 species